UAAUAUAUUUAAAAUUAGGUAGUAAUGAUAUCUCUGAAACCUAAAGAACUUGGCGGUAUUUUAAAUAAUUGGAGGAACUUGCUAUUUAAUUGAAAUUCCACAACAUAUCUUCCCUUAGUUUUUGUUUGUAUAUCGUUGUUUAGGACAAUAUUUUAAAAUGUAGUCAAGAUUAAAAUUUUUUGAAAAAUCAAAUCAAGGUGCAGCAUAAUAAGGUUAUAGUGAGUUACAAUACAUUUCAUGUAAACGGAAAGUAAUAUGAAAAGUGAAAAGAAGGUGGAUUCGAAAGUAAUAAAGAAUUAAAAAGUUUUUAUGAAUUAUAAUUUAAAAUAUGC
rnacentral:rRNA from 1 species